rnacentral:rRNA from 1 species
CUACGGGGCGCACCAGUGGGGAAUAUUGCACAAUGGAGGAAACUCUGAUGCAGCAACGCCGCGUGGAGGAUGACACUUUUCGGAGCGUAAACUCCUUUUAUAUAGGAAGAUAAUGACGGUACUAUAUGAAUAAGCACCGGCUAACUCCGUGCCAGCAGCCGCGGUAAUACGGAGGGUGCAAGCGUUACUCGGAAUCACUGGGCGUAAAGAGCGUGUAGGCGGAUAGAUAAGUCAGGAGUGAAAUCCUAUGGCUCAACCAUAGAACUGCUUCUGAAACUCUUAAUCUAGAAUGUGGGAGAGGUAGAUGGAAUUUCUGGUGUAGGGGUAAAAUCCGUAGAGAUCAGAAGGAAUACCGAUUGCGAAGGCGAUCUACUAGAACAUUAUUGACGCUGAGACGCGAAAGCGUGGGGAGCAAACAGGAUUAGAUACCCCCGUAGUC